CAAAAACAUGUCUUUUGGUUUUAAUUAAAAGUCUGGCCUGCCCACUGAAAUUAAUUAAAGGGCUGCAGUAUUUUGACUGUACAAAGGUAGCAUAAUCAUUAGUUUCUUAAUUAGGAACUGGAAUGAAUGGUUUUUCGAGAUAUCAGCUGUCUACUAGACAAAUAAAUUGAAUUUUAUAUUUAAGUUAGAAAGCUUAAAUGAGUUUUGGGGACGAGAAGACCCUAUAGAUCUUUAUAUUGAAUUCAAUAAUAUUAUCAUGUGGUUUAAUUGGGAUUUAUUGUUUUCAAUAUUUUAUUGGGGUGAUACGGGAAUAUACAAACUUCUUGAGUGUUUAUAAACUUGAAUUGAAGAAUUUUGGAUCCUUAAUUUAGGAAGGAAGAUUAAGAUACCUUAGGGAUAACAGCGUUAUUUUGUUAGAAAGUUCAUAUUAAUAACAAAGAUUGCGACCUCGAUGUUGGAUUAAGAUUAUUAACUGGUGCAGAAGUUAGUUAAAUAGGUCUGUUCGACCAUUAAAUUCU
rnacentral:rRNA from 1 species